UCAGUUUUAUAAUUGUAGUGCCUCAUUUUUACGUCACUUCUUAUAGACCGUUCCACUAAUCUUUUAGUAAUUACGUAAUUACUGCAUUGCCACCGUACAUAGAGAAGAAGAGAACCAACAUAAAACCACUGAAGGCCGUUGGGUUACCAUCGACCUUUUGGUUUAUUUUGGUGUUUUCCGUCUCAAUGCCAGAGACGAGUGGAUAAGGAAUAACGUCUUAUUUCCUUCACAGCUUCCCUUCGUCAAAAGAAAGCAGAUCCGAUGCGACACUGAGGUCCCUCUAGUGCAUAGAUUAGACGAACACAAAAAAGGUGUGUGAUUAUGUGCUAAUGAGCCUAAAUGGAGUUGCAUUGGUAAACCCGGUGGGGGGGAAGUCAUGCAUUAAAGCGGAAAUCAACACAAAUGUUAUUGGACAGGCCCAGGAGCGCUGUAACCAGGCAGGGAGCAGCUGUCAGGAUGUGAGUGGAGGAGCUUACGUCACCAAGGGAUGAUUCUGAGAAGGGGGCAGAGACCAGUAGCUCCAGCUUCAGCUCUCUUCCUCAUCCUCCUCCUCCUCGUCUUCCUCCACCAGCCACCCCACCCACUCAGCACAGCCACUCCGGACGCUAGCUACUCUAUUCUUCUCCCGCUUUAUUGCACUUAUGCUCUUCCCUCUGCAUCCUGUUCUUUUCUAUCACAACCUAUGAUGUCCCAGCUUCUGUUUCACUUAUGUGCUAUAUUCUGUUUAAAAACUGAAGCUCAAGUUCUAAUUGGCCAAUGACCUUACAGUAAGACUAUGGUGUCCCGAUGUUUGGCAGUUUAUUAUAAGAAAACAACCAAGGGAACAAAAAUGAAAUUGGAGCAGAAAUGUAUUUAUAAGUAAAGAUCCAAGAGAGUUCAAGGACAGAACUCAAAACUUGUUCUGUAAAUGCAGAAUCAAAUGCCUCUCUAUAGUCACGAUCUAAAGAAUUCACAUUCUGCUUCACCCAACAGGAAACAGGGCCAACUCAAAGAUGUCAUGCACUCGUCAGUCUACCUGACCUUUAAACGUUGAAUAGGCACACGCUACUUUUGAAGACACUUACAUUUUGACCCUGAAACACUCACCGUUUCUCAGAUACUGUCUCCCUCGCUCCGUAUAAUUCUAUACUUAGAAUUAUGAUUUAUACCUAUGAAAGUCAUUGAAGGACAAACAUCAAAUCGUACAUUUUGAUAGAAUAAAUAAAAAGUUGAAUUACGUUAAAGUUCAACUUGACCAUCUUCAGGCAAAAAAUACUAUCAUUAACAUUUCAUGGCCAACAAUAAUUUGUGUACGGGAUGUAUAUUGGAGCGGACAGAAGUUCACCAGGAGGGAAAAUUAUUUACAUUAAAUAGUUGAUCCUUUUUUAAAUGAAAAACAGAAAUAAAGAUAAAUAUAACAAAUAUUUUAGAUGAUGGAUAAAUCUUUAUAACCAAAUUGAUAUUAAUAAAACAUAUUAUUAAGCAGCAUGCGCAGCUUGACAGCACACCUGCACUCACACCCGUACAAAGACACAGAACACCGCCUCCAAACAAUCCGCAACUGGCACGUUAUCAGCUGCCACAACACCGGUUUGCUGCUCUUUUGACCUAACAGCCGGAUCACGAGACUCAGAGUCAGAGGCAACACUGGUUCACAACUCCGUAGCUUGCAUCCGUUCAAUGCUGAUGAACUGUAAAACCUGUUUUAUUCCCCUCCACCUCAUGUCCGUAUCUUUCCCACUGCCAACAAAUAAUCUGGUUUGAUCCUUUAAAAAAGGAAUACCCCGCUUAAAAGGACCAGAGGAAUUGUCCAAAGAUGAUAGGGCUUAAGGGUUUGGACUUCAUCAUUAAUGUAAAGACAUGCAUAUUAUUUAAUGCUAUGUAACAAAUAAUUUAAAACCCCUGAAAAUCAAGUCAAAACUUAAAAGACUAAAUCACUCUGAUAUAACCUAAUAUCAUAUAUGCUCAGCUUCAAUUCUGUAUCUGUAGAUGACUCCUCCUCGGAGCACCGUGAGGUGACCUCCGGGGACGACAGGCAUGUCUUUCUACGCUGAUGACAUAAUGCUGUUUGAGGCCAUUCCACUCACUUUUUAACCGUGUUUAGAUGUCAAGGGUCGGAUGACACAAAACAGCUCUACCAAAAAUACAAGCAAAAUCUAUUUAAGUAUCAACUCACCUGAAAAAUAAAGAUCAAAAUUUUCUGUUGUGGUGUUUAUGUUCUUUUUAUACUUUAUUUGUAGUUUUAACAUUUCUGAACAUUGUCUUUGUUAUUUCAUUUCCUACUAACUAACCAUUUGUAAAUACCUUUGAGAUAUUGCUAUAACCUCUAUUGAAACAACAUGAGUCAUGGAUUGAUUGUUUGCAUCUCAGUAGCAACAAUAGCAGAACUAUUUGUAAAAUGGCCUGGUUUUAGUUUGAUGAAACUUGUUUUGUAGAAUUAAACCUGGAAAGACCUCGAAAAUGUUAAAUGUUUUUGAUUGUCAAUCAGGCCGGCGUAAAGGAGCUGAUCAAAGGAGCAUCCCUUGUAGAAUGACAUAUGGUCUAUUCUUGAGGGGAAUCAGCUAAAAUGAUAGGCAGCAUUUAAACAAUUAUCUUUACAGUAUGUAGCCAAAUAACUUGAAAAUGGAACCAAUGGCUUAAAUGGCUUUUAGGGCCAUUGGAAUUAAUGCCAAUAUGCUUUUUGCCUGGCAUAAUAACUUCUAUGACCUCAAAUAAUUUUACUCUAUCAUAAAUUGAAAGUGCAGCAAUGGACACACUGAUUUGUGUGUCUGUCAUUAGCCACUUUGGGGAUUCCAGCCUUGUCUUUAAAGUAAUAUUCCGAUUCUUUAACCAUUUUGGUUUCAAUAAAUUAAUGGCAGAAUCAAACAUCUGAGUCUCGGCUCCUGGGUCCCGAAAAUCAAAACAAACUGUUAAUAUGCACCAGUUUUAGCUGGUUAAUUUCAGGAAUUUUAGAAUGUUUCAUGCUGCUUUUACACAGAGUUCUUUACUAACAUUUGAGUGCUGAUCAAAGCGCUGUGGAAAAGCGUUUCCUCACAUUCUGUCUGUAUUUCAUGAUCAGUGAGGCUGUUCCAGAAAAUGCUGCUUGAUCACAUGACACGCAAGUCUAUGCUGGAGCUUUUCAAGCAACUUGCAUGUUUAUCUUACUGCAAUAUAGCUGUCCAAGAUCAUUUAGAAUUUUCUCCCAGGGUGGAUUUCUUCUGUCAGUGUGACCCAGAUUUGACUGUUCAUGUCCGGCUUGCAAUGAGAAGAUCUAUUCUCUUGUUUACAAAACGCCAACAAUCUAAUUUUUGUUUUGUUCUUGUGUAAAUCCAGUGAACAGCAUUUGCAUUUCAACAUGCUUUGAUAACAGCAUUCUGUGUGCUGUUUAUACAAUUUGUAUUAUUAUGGUCUUAUGCAAUGCUCGUUUGAAGUCAUAGCUAGGACAUGGACCAGACACAAACAAUAAGAGCAGGAGGGUCUGAACUUGAAUUGUCUCUCCGCUUGCGUAAACAGGAAUGAUUGUGUCAGUUAUGAUGUCACGCGCUGAUGCAUCAGGUUGCUAUGGUUACACCAAUGUGUGUGAUCGUGGAGCCCAUCACAUUGGAAAUCCACAGGAAACGGGCAUGUGGGGGUGCACUUAUGAUCUGAGAAGCUGUAUCUAGUCCAUAAGGAAUACAUAACUUCAUAAUGUGUAUAUGAAAUAAAGCACAUGUUGGAGCACUUUCAGUGUUUCUCACUUUUUUCACAAAAUACCACCAUGAAUGUAUCUUCUCAAAUCAGUAAGUUAGCCAUCAAACCUUUUCCCAAAAAGUGGGACAAAAUAUUUUGUUCACACCAAAACAUUCCUACUGCACUAUAGUGAGCUCAGUCCUAUAAAUAGGCCUGCUUGAUGAGUUUACAAUAGCCUGCAUCUGUACACAGUCAUGCUGAAGACCUCAGCGUUGUUAAGAGUAAUGUUAUAAAACAGGCAGCAAGUGUGUCCUCCUCCCAUCUGUUCUCUCUCCUCUGUCUCUAUUUCUCUGUGUUCCAUGACGCAAAGCCUGAGUGGGAGUGGACAAACCUUCUGCUCCCUGAGAGGACUGAGUGGGCCGACGCCAUCCGCUCCGUGCGCAACAGAAACGGAGGCAUAGAUGGAUGGGAAGGGGAGAAAUUUGAACGGCACCAGUGGAAGCCUCAGAGAAGGAAUGAAUUUGUCUGCUGAGGACUUGCAUGAGGGACUCGCACCAAAACACUCUACUGCCCUCUGUUGUUACCUUCGGUAAAAUAAUGAAUAACUGAGUGGACGAACUGAAAAGUGCAAAAGAAAAAAAAAGGACCUUUAUUAUUGAUUUCAUCUUUAAUUUUCAAUGCAGUUUUACACAGUAUGUCAUCCAUCCAUUAUGUAACAGAAUGGCUCCAUAUCAUAUUAGAAUAAUGGAAAAUGGUUAAUGACAGAACCAACUGUCAGGAGCAUUUUAAUAUCGAAGCAGAACCUGUUUUUUUUUUUUUUUUUUACAUACAGGGACGUUUUUUAAUCUGCAUAUUUGAGAUCACCAUCAUAAAAAUCAAAUCAACUUUGUGAUCUAAACACCUUAAAGGUACCUCUUGCUGAUGAAUAAAAUGAAUAAACUGUU